rnacentral:lncRNA from 10 species
CUCAAGGCUUCUGGGAAGUGAAAAGUAUAUCUUCCUCCAAAAAUUUUAGAUACAUAAAUAGAGCUUUACUGAUUCCAAGAGAUAGUAUAGUGAGAUUAUUGCAACGAAUUUAAAAAAAAUCAUGAUUUGGAUCUUAAUUUGGCAAACUCCCAGCUGUGUGACAUUGGGCAGGUAAGUUAUGUCUAGACUUCACUUUCUUCAUCUAUAAAAUGGGGACAGAGAUUAUGCCUUCUUCAUCGAGUAGUUGUGGAGGUUCAAUGAGAAUAUGAAUUGGAAACACUUAGUAGAACACCUGGCCCCUAGUAAAUACUCAACGAAUGUCAGGUGGUGUUGGUCUUCAUCUUUAUUGUGUGAGAAGGAUGAUGAACUCACUGAACAUAUGAGGAAACUGAGAGGCCAGAGUGGAAGCCAGGACUGUCAUGCAGGUCUCUGACGCGCUGUCAGUUUCUGUUCUGCAGGCUGUGAGCUGAUUUGUACCUGGGAAAGCCAAAGUGUUCACAUAGACUAAGUCAGAAUAAGCUCCUCCAACUCGACUUGAUCCUGGGUGCAGAAAAUGCUGGAAGCCUGACACAAUCACAGCCCAAAGGGAGCAAAUGAAAAGAAAUCCUCUGAAUGAAAUUUGGGGUCUCACUUCGGGCAGCACCCACCCUCUGCAAAAGGGAGAUGUUUCCACAGCUGCUGAUCCUGGAUCCAGAGGCAGCACUCCCUCCACGAGGGACACUCGGGCAUUGUAAACUCAAGCAUCCCUUUGUUUUCCAUUCUUCACUCAGACAUUCCUGAUGACUAACUAGGGAUCAAUAUAAAUCACGUCAUUGUGAUCUCGGGUCUUUUCCUGCUAAAGAAAAGUAGAGAGUAUAAGGAAAUGACGGUGGUUUGAAAACAGAAAGCAAAAGUACUCCCUACAAAAGUUAUCUGGAGCUAUUAGGAAAACAAGGAAGAGGCUCCUGGUGAUUUGGAAGCCGGGCCAAGGUCUAGGAUGCAAUUGAUGUCAAUAGGUCCUUUGCAGGUAGAGGGACAGAAAUCCACCCUCAGAUGCACACACAAAGCUGUCAUUAACAGAAGCUUCACGUGCACCCCGGAAAGCAAAAUUGGGCACUCGGCUUCAAAGGAAACGGCUUCUUCCUUCACAAUACUUCAUCACUAAAUGGUUGUCUGGCAUGUUUGUUUUUUCAAAUGUCCACAUUUUAUUUGUCCAACUGAUUGUCUCUUUAUCAGCAGCAGCCAGGACCACAGCUGAACUGUUUGUGAGUUGGUAGUUUAUAAAAUCAAUGCUAAGUCUUUGCUAGUGUUUCUCUAACACGCUCAUUUGUAUUUAUUCGUCUCAGAAGUCAAAGAAAAAAACACAACAUACAAAAGGCAGAGUGGUGCUUUUCUAUGUCAAUAUGUGUUUGAGGACUUUUCUAGCUAAUUGACAUAAACUCGACAGCUAGACCAGAUGACAAGCAAGAAUAUCCAUCCCAUAAUGAGGCUUCCGGCACUGGCUUAAUCAAGUAAAUCCAGAAAACAAGGCUCAAAAUUACUUGAGAAAGGUUUUAAUUGUUUUUGCAUCUUUUCUCUUUUUUCUUUCUCUUAUUUUAGAAAAAUUAUUCUUAGAGGUAGAGUCUCAA